rnacentral:rRNA from 1 species
UCCGUAGGUGAACCUGCGGAGGGAUCAUUACCGAGUUUACAACUCCCAAACCCCUGUGAACAUACCACUUGUUGCCUCGGCGGAUCAGCCCGCUCCCGGUAAAACGGGACGGCCCGCCAGAGGACCCCUAAACUCUGUUUCUAUAUGUAACUUCUGAGUAAAACCAUAAAUAAAUCAAAACUUUCAACAACGGAUCUCUUGGUUCUGGCAUCGAUGAAGAACGCAGCAAAAUGCGAUAAGUAAUGUGAAUUGCAGAAUUCAGUGAAUCAUCGAAUCUUUGAACGCACAUUGCGCCCGCCAGUAUUCUGGCGGGCAUGCCUGUUCGAGCGUCAUUUCAACCCUCAAGCCCUCGGGUUUGGUGUUGGGGAUCGGCGAGCCCUUUGCGGCAAGCCGGCCCCGAAAUCUAGUGGCGGUCUCGCUGCAGCUUCCAUUGCGUAGUAGUAAAACCCUCGCAACUGGUACGCGGCGCGGCCAAGCCGUUAAACCCCCAACUUCUGAAUGUUGACCUCGGAUCAGGUAGGAAUACCCGCUGAACUUAAGCAUAUCAAUAAGCGGAGGA